rnacentral:rRNA from 1 species
GUUACCAGCACGUUAUGGUGGGCACUCUAAGGAGACUGCCGGUGACAAACCGGAGGAAGGUGGGGAUGACGUCAAGUCAUCAUGGCCCUUACGGCCUGGGCCACACACGUGCUACAAUGGUCGGUACAAAGGGUUGCCAAGCCGCGAGGUGGAGCUAAUCCCAUAAAACCGAUCGUAGUCCGGAUCGCAGUCUGCAACUCGACUGCGUGAAGUCGGAAUCGCUAGUAAUCGUGAAUCAGAAUGUCACGGUGAAUAUGUUCCCGGGCCUU